UACAGAGGUGGCAAGCGUUGUUCGGAUUUAUUGGGCGUAAAGGGUCCGUAGGCGGUUUGGAAAGUCAGAUGUGAAAUCCCACAGCUCAACUGUGGAACUGCAUUUGAAACUUCCAGACUAGAGUAUGAGAGGGGUUAAGGGAAUUCCCGGUGUAAGGGUGAAAUCUGCAGAGAUCGGGAGGAACACCAGUCGCGAAGGCGCUUAACUGGCUCAUUACUGACGCUCAGGGACGAAAGCUAGGGUAGCAAACGGGAUUAGAAACCCCGGUAGUCC
rnacentral:rRNA from 1 species